GUCCAGGGAUGGGAAUCGAACCCACAGUGUUCCGCUUACCGGGCAGAUGCCAUGUCCACUAGGUUACCCUGGA
rnacentral:tRNA from 1 species